AGGGUUCGAUCAUGGCUCAGGAUGAACGCUAGCUACAGGCUUAACACAUGCAAGUCGAGGGGCAGCAUUUUAGUUUGCUUGCAAACUAAAGAUGGCGACCGGCGCACGGGUGAGUAACGCGUAUCCAACCUGGCCCAUACCACGGGACAGCCCGUCGAAAGGCGGAUUAAUACCGUAUGCAGUCAUUAGGGAGCAUUUUUUGAUGACGAAAGGAUUUGGCGGUAUGGGAUGGGGAUGCGUCUGAUUAGCUUGUUGGCGGGGUAACGGCCCACCAAGGCGACGAUCAGUAGGGGUUCUGAGAGGAAGGUCCCCCACAUUGGAACUGAGACACGGUCCAA
rnacentral:rRNA from 1 species